rnacentral:rRNA from 1 species
GCCGGAGGGUGCAAUCGUUGUUCGGAAUCACUGGGCGUAAAGCGCGUGUAGGCGGUUUGAUAAGUCGAAUGUGAAAGCCCGAGGCUCAACCUCGGAAGUGCAUUCGAAACUGUCAGGCUUGAGUACGGGAGAGGGAAGUGGAAUUCCUGGUGUAGAGGUGAAAUUCGUAGAUAUCAGGAGGAACACCGGUGGCGAAGGCGGCUUCCUGGACCGAUACUGACGCUGAGACGCGAAAGCGUGGGGAGAAAACAGG